GAAAGGAUGAGAAGCUUCGACCAAGGUUCGACUCGAGCGCCAGCGAGAGAGCGUUGCCGCAGGCAACGACCCGAAGGGCGAAGCGCGCAGCGCUGAGUAAUCCUUCCCCCACCACCA
rnacentral:sRNA from 1 species